GUGUCAGCAGCCGCGGUAAUACAGGGGGGGCAAGCGUUGUUCGGAAUUACUGGGCGUAAAGGGUUCGUAGGCGGCCAACUAAGUCACACGUGAAAUCCCCAGGCUUAACCUGGGAACUGCGUGUGAUACUGGAUGGCUUGAAUCCGGGAGAGGAAUGCGGAAUUCCAGGUGUAGCGGUGAAAUGCGUAGAUAUCUGGAGGAACACCGGUGGCGAAGGCGGCAUUCUGGACCGGUAUUGACGCUGAUGAACGAAAGCCAGGGGAGCAAACGGGAUUAGAUACCCCAGUAGUCC
rnacentral:rRNA from 1 species